GACUCCUACGGGAGGCAGCAGUGGGGAAUAUUGGGCAAUGGAGGAAACUCUGACCCAGCGACGCCGCGUGCGGGAUGAAGGCCUUCGGGUUGUAAACCGCUUUCAGUAGGGAAGAAGCGAAAGUGACGGUACCUACAAAAGAAGCACCGGCUAACUAUGUGCCAGCAGCCGCGGUAAUA
rnacentral:rRNA from 1 species